rnacentral:lncRNA from 1 species
AAAGAAUCUGCAACAUUUUAGUGCCAGAACAGCCACAGCAUCCAAAGAAUAUAUAUGGAUACUAAAUAUAACAAUCAGGUGUCUAUUCAUAUCUUCAUUUCAGAUAUCAGGAUAUAUUUUAAUAAUAAGACCACAAAUUUUAAUGCAAUCAUCAUCAUUUAAUAUAAAAUUCUCGAGGUUGCAAAACUAAAUAGAUCAAAUUUAAUGAGUACAGAAGUUAGUGACACCCUACCCGCUUUUGCGUCUUCACUGGUAGCAGUCACUAUAUCAGCUUGAAUGGACUUUUCUUGCAAAGCAUUGCAUUUAAUGAAUGGGGAGGCAGAACCAUCAAGAGUAUCCUGCAGAAUAGAAUCAACUCAUUAAAUAUUAAAAUCGUUAAAAAGGUGGUUAACUUGGCAUUCCAACAACAAACUAAACUUAAUUUCCAAUAAAUUCGGAGUAGCCUGCAUGAUUUUUAAUGUUGUUUCCACUCUAAGAACCAAUGUCAUAAUAGCAACUCAACUAAAAUAUAAAAUAUGAAGAGCUAGUCAUAUCAGAAAAAUUCUGAUAGAAACGGAAAAUCAGGAAACCAAAAAAAAAAAAAAAAA